UGUCUAAGUAUAAGCAAUUAUACAGCGAAACUGCGAAUGGCUCAUUAAAUCAGUUAUCGUUUAUUUGAUAGUACCUUACUACUUGGAUAACCGUGGUAAUUCUAGAGCUAAUACAUGCUAAAAACCCCGACUCAAGAAGGGGUGUAUUUAUUAGAUUAAAAACCAAUGCCCUUCGGGGCUCUUUGGUGAUUCAUAAUAACUUCACGAAUCGCAUGGCCUUGUGCCGGCGAUGGUUCAUUCAAAUUUCUGCCCUAUCAACUUUCGAUGGCAGGGUCUUGGCCUGCCAUGGUUACAACGGGUAACGGAGGGUUAGGGCUCGACCCCGGAGAAGGAGCCUGAGAAACGGCUACUACAUCCAAGGAAGGCAGCAGGCGCGCAAAUUACCCAAUCCCGACUCGGGGAGGUAGUGACAAUAAAUACUGAUACAGGGCUCUUUAGGGUCUUGUAAUUGGAAUGAGUACAAUUUAAAUCCCUUAACGAGGAACAAUUGGAGGGCAAGUCUGGUGCCAGCAGCCGCGGUAAUUCCAGCUCCAAUAGCGUAUAUUAAAGUUGUUGCAGUUAAAAAGCUCGUAGUUGAACCUUGGGCCUGGCUGGCCGGUCCGCCUCACCGCGUGCACUGGUUCGGCCGGGCCUUUCCCUCUGGGGAACCUCAUGCUCUUCACUGAGUGUGUUGGGGAACCAGGACUUUUACUGUGAAAAAAUUAGAGUGUUCAAAGCAGGCCUAUGCUCGAAUACAUUUAGCAUGGAAUAAUGAAAUAGGACGUGUGGUUCUAUUUUGUUGGUUUCUAGGACCGCCGUAAUGAUUAAUAGGGACAGUCGGGGGCAUCAGUAU
rnacentral:rRNA from 1 species